rnacentral:lncRNA from 1 species
AACAUUGUAUAUAGCAUGAUUUUAGUUGGUAAACAACAUGUUUUCAUGUUUAAGAUUCAUGUUGAAAAUCAUGUUUUAUUCAGAAAAAUUGUUUUUGGUCACUGCCUAAAGAUAAUCGAUUGUUUUCUUAAACAAUCGAUUAUCCCUCAAGUUUAAAAUUCUGGCAGUUUUUUUUGAAACACCAGAAUAAUCGAUUGUAUAAACGAUACAAUCGAUU